CGCUGGAGACUCCCCUGGUGGCCAUCCAUGGAUGCGGCGGCGGGCUCUGCUUCCUCAUUAGAUUAAAUUUUGGUAUUACAUUUUUUAGCACUUCAUGUGAAUGUUCUAUAGUCUCUAUUGUGCAGGCGGGUCUACUCUCCCUCUUGAGGCGAGUGUGGAUGUAAUGGAUAUUGAUUGUGGUUGUUCGGACAAAAAUAUUGCGUGGAAACAUUAUAUACUGAUGGAGAGUAGUAGUUGUGGAGCGGGUCGUGGGAGAGACGGUUGGUUAGCAUGGGCUGGACGGGAAGGUGGUGCCUGCGAUAGCGACCAAGCCGGCGGGCAGGGCAGGGACGACUGUGGCCAUCGUGGUGUUUUCAAGGGAGAGCGAGGCAACUGCAAUCACGCAACUGAAGAAGUCGAAACCCGGGGUGAAGUUGGCCAACAUGAAAGCUGACAAACCUAAAUGCCGGUGAUAGGUUGUUCGCCGCUGUCGCGCCGUCUUUGAACUUGGUGGAGACGCAGAAGUAGUGGCGGAGCUAGGAUCAAGCCAUGACCCGGGCAAGCCCCAGGCCAAUCCACUUGGUACAGUGCUAAACAGUGUAAAAUCCACUACAGUAAACGAAGGAGCCAAGCCUCAGAACCCAGGCCGCCGCCCGGGCAGCCUGUGGCUUGUCUCCGCCACUGCGCAGAAGGAGAACGGUGGCGCUGACCUUGACGACUGCUGCCAUGACCACAACCAUGAUGAUUGUGUUGGUAAUAAAGAUACUAAUUAUAUAUAAAUCCCCCAGCUUCGAAAACAUUAGAUUAUCCAACUUAUUAUUCAAAUUCUUGAUAAAUGGAAAUUUCCUAUAUACAAUGAGCUUAUUAUUUUUUUUAGAAAAGGAGGAUGACCCCCGGCCUCUGCAUCUGGGAGAUGCAUACGGUCACUUUAUUGAU